AACGAACGCUGGCGGCAUGCCUAACACAUGCAAGUCGAACGAGACCUUCGGGUCUUGUGGCGCACGGGUGCGUACCGCGUGGGAACCUGCCCUUAGGUUCGGUAUAACUCCCCGAAAGGGGUCCUAAUACCGGAUAAUCUCUUCGGACCAAAGAUUUAUCGCCUUUGGAUGGGCCCGCGUUGGAUUCGCUAGUUGGUAGGGUACAAGCCUACCAAGGAGACGUUGCAGAGCUGGUCUGAGAGGAGGAUCAUCCACACUGGGACUGAGACACGGACCAGACUCCGACGGGAGGGAGGAGUGGGGAAUAUGAGACAAUGGGCGAAAGCCUGAUCAAGCAAUGCCGCGUGAGUGAUGAAGGCCUUAGGGUUGCAAAGCUCUUUUACCCGGGAUGAUAAUGACAGUACCGGGAGAAUAAGCACCGGCUAACUCCGUG
rnacentral:rRNA from 1 species